rnacentral:lncRNA from 1 species
AUUCUUUUUUUAUUUUAUUUUUUUAAUCAUUUUCUUUCUUUCUUUUUUUUAUUACGUAUUUUCCUCAAGUACAUUUCCAAUGCUAUCCCAAAAGUUCCCCACACCCCCCCCCACUCCCCUACCCACCCAUUCCCAUUUUUUGGCCCUGGCGUUACCCUGUACUGGGGCAUAUAAAGUUUGCCUGACCAAUGGGCCUCUCUUUCCAUUGAUGGCCGACUAGGCCAUCUUUUGAUACAUAUGCAGCUAGAGUCAAGAGCUCUGGGGUACUGGUUAGUUCAUAAUGUUCCACCGAUAGGGUUGCAGAUCUCUUUAGCUCCUUGGAUACUUUCUCUAGCUCCUCCAAAUUCAUUCUUUUUAAUAGCUGAGUAGUACUCCAUUGUGUAAAUGUACCACAUUUUCUGUAUCCAUUCCUCUGUUGAGGGGCAUCUGGGUUCUUUCCAGCUUCUGGCUAUUAUAAAUAAGGCUGCUAUGAACAUAGUGGAGCAUGUGUCCUUCUUACCGGUUGGGACAUCUUCUGGAUAUAUGCCCAGGAGAGGUAUUGCGGGAUCCUCCGGUAGUACUAUGUCCAAUUUUCUGAGGAACUGCCAGACUGAUUUCCAGAGUGGUUGUACAAGCUUGCAAUCCCACCAACAAUGGAGGAGUGUUCCUUUUUUUAAAAAGACAGUCUGUCUGGAGUGGAAUGUCUGACAUUUACAGAUUUUUCUAGAAGUUUAUGACCAUGGGAAAGACAUAGCAAGAGACUUGCCCUAGAAGAAGCUCUGUGGGACCUGAAGGGCAAGCCUCAUCAGCUUCCUAGUGAACAUAACUCCGAGCCUCUCCACCUCCCACACCUUGAGGGGGCUUUGUUGUUUUCUGAGGACUUAUUUCAUCUACUCAUGUGUGUCCUUGCCUGUGUGAAAGUAUAUGCACACAUGCCUGUGGAUGAGUAUCCUUAUGUAUAUUUGGAGGCUAGAAAAGGAGGUCAGAGCCCUUGGAACUAAAAUUAUAUAAUAGGGAUGCCCACAUCAUUACACCAGUCUAGGAUAUAAACUCUAGUCCUUGUGAUUUUAUACAGCAAGCACUCUUAGCCUUUGAGCCAUCUCUCCAGCCCCUACCUAACGUUUCGACCCAGGAGGGACAAUUUUUCAUUCCAGCCUCAAUAGCAGUUCGGUGCUGCCAAAGACCUGACAAGCUCAGCGAUGCAGUCCUAAUAAGAUUGACUGUAACUUCAGAUACCAGCCACAUUUGGGGAGGGUCAAGGGCCCGCAUGCCUCUUCCUGACUGACUGACUGACUAAGAUGUUUCCAUGAGCUCUUUGGAUUCAUACUUUACUAGAAUGGCUCACAGAACUCAGGAAAAUACCCCUGCAGCUCUAGUUUCAUGACCAUGUAUGUGAAUCAAAGGAGAGGUGCAUUCCCCUCACUUUUGCUUGUAGAUUCAAGGUGUCUGAAUCUCCUACCACAUCAGUACGUACUCCUAACAGGAAAUCCACUGACCUUCAAUGAUCAGAGUAUUCAUUAGUGCUUCAUUAAAUGGACAUGAUUGAGGAAACCAUUGGCCAAUUGAUUGUACUCAGUCUUCAAGCACUUUGACCUCUCUGGAAAUCAGUCCAUAUAUGAUGGUUUGAGUAUGGUAUGUUCUUCCAAACACUUGUGAAUGAAGACUUGGUCCCUCGCUUGUAGAUGCAGUCCACCGAGAGACCAUUGUAUUAUGAAAGCUUUUACUUCAACAGUGUAUUAAUGCAUUGAUGGGUCCAUAGAGUGACGUUAUUGGGAGCUGGCAGUACCUUAAGGCCUGACCAGGGAAAGAUGGUCAAUUGAGAGUACGAAGGGUAUCUUGUCCUCAACAUCUGUCUCACCUUCUGCUUCCUGGUUACCAUGAGGCAAGCAACUGGCCUGUGACACACCAGCUUACAGGCCCAGAAGGAGCAGCCAGCUGACCAUGAUCUGAAAUGUGUGUCACCUUGAGUCGGAAUAGCCUUCCUUCCUUUAAAUUAUUUCUGGUGUUUGCCCCAGCACUGAGAAGAGAGCUAACGUCUAGGCCAAGCGUCUAACAGUCUAGCCACACUCUUCUGUUAGUGCUAUAUGUGUUUGAUUUUAUAUUUUAUUUUUAUACUUAUAUAGUAUAUUUAUAUAGUAUAAGAACCUAUAUAUUUUAUUAGGUUCUUAUACCUCUACCUCCCUUCAAACCCUUAUUCUACCUUGAUCUCUUCCAACCCCCAACACCAGGAAGGAGAGAAAGGAGGUUAGAGGGGGAAGGGGCGUAGACCUCUUUAGACUACUUCCUGCUGAUUCGGGACAUCGUGUCUCUUGGGACCAGUCCAAUCAUCGUCGUCAGGAUAUCUCCAACUUUUUCUUAUUGUCAGACCACAGGAGCAGCAAGGGCAGCAGCUGCCUUCUUUUCUGAGCACCUCCUCCACCCCUACCCCUCUCAGGGCUCUGGCAUUUAUUUCCUCUCCAGAGACCCCAGAACUAAACUAUCUGCAGCUGGCGAAAAAUCACGCCCCUCCUGGAGCAGGAGACGAUCAUAGUUAGCGGCUGUGGACAAACUGAAGCAGCCUCAUAUUCCAUACCUGGGAUUAAAACAAAACCAUAUUUGUAUAUUACGCUGGGUUUUUAAAGAAACCAAAACUCUCAGUACAUUGUUGGUCUUCUGUGACCAACUCUAGCCAAAGCUUACCCAGCAGAAGUCACUUCGUUAGUAUGGUAAAGAUGGCCCUGUCAUCUGGGAAACUCCAAGGGAGUAGACACUCCAUGCUAAGAACCUAGGAGUACACGGGCAAGAAUUAUGAUGCAUCAGGAAGCCCUAUCUUCUGGCCUGACCUCUCUGUUCGUUUUCCUUACGUGGAAGGAACCUCUUCACCUGGCCUUCCUUUCACAGAGCAAUUUCCUGGGAAGAGUGCUCCAUGCUUGUUCUCCAAUGACACUCUCAGUAGCCCCACCUCCACCCCAUCUCCCUGGCUGUCUCUGGGCCUUUGGAACUGAAGACACUCUGUGAUGGCACACAACCAGUUUGCUUCUUGAUGAGUAUAAACUAACCAAGAGACAAAGGUGGACGGGUUUAGUACCGCUCCAGUGAGGAGACCACAGGUGUUCAGUUUUCAAAGUCGUAUCUUCUGAACGAGGAGGAAGCUGUGGCUUUUAUUGGGGAAACCUCUGCAUACAGGUAGACAUCACCAUAGAUAGAGACCCAGGUAUUUCUAAGCAUGCUAGGUUUGAGGUCAUUUACCAUGUUCAAAUAAAAGACGGGUGAUGAGCACUUUCUGGAGCAUGCUCAGCUCAUUACCAUAUGGUUAAAAUAAGACGCCUACCAAUGAAGGACUCGGUGUUACUGUGAGCAUAGUUUCCCCCAGAUCACGCAAAAUAAGCGAUUCAAUGAUUAGAGCUGUCUCCUUUUAAGAUUCUCAAGGAAUCUAUAUUAGUAACUUUUUUUUGUUGUUGAUAUUGUAAUUAAAUAGCCAACAGGAGCAACUUGAGGGAGGAGAGAGGGUUAUUUAGGCUCGUGGUUCAGGAGCUCCUUAGGCUAUCACCGCGGAGAAGAUGCCUGCUGGAAUGAACUCAGCUGUAAUUUCCCCAGCUUGCAGCUGGUCACAUCACUUGGCAAACGGGAAGCAGAGAACUUCAGCAGAACGGAGGGAUAGCCUUUGGAACUCUAGGCUCUGGGAGGCUGCAUCAGCCCUCAAGUCUCUAUGUCUCAACGUUUCCAGAUUCCCUACCAGCUUGGAACCAAGGGUUCAAAGACAUGUCCCCACAUAGAUGACAUUUCACAUUCAGGCAAUAUCAGUCUUAGCUGAAG